rnacentral:lncRNA from 1 species
GGAAUAUGCAGUUAUGUAUAUGUAUUUUAUAUAAGAUAUCUUGUACGUUUUAAAUGUAAUACAAACUAACGAUAUUAGAAAAAGAAGUAUCUAUAAAAUCAAUUCAAACCACCAAAAGCAGCCGGUCCGGCUGACCCACCCAACCUGACGGGUUUGGUUUGUCGUUUCCCAAAACCUUAGCGGUUCAUCCCAAAAGUUUCAUUAAAACCUGGUCAUUUUUAUCUAUUUAAAUUCCUCAAAAGAUGAACAAAUAAAGAACUAUGCUCACCUUAUAGAAUUUGUAAUCUCUGCCCAUAAAUUUAGAGGUAGUAAGCUGUCAGUAUCCCCCCUAGAUUGCAUAGAAGCUUUUGAAUCCGAUUGUAUACCGUGUAUCACAACAUAUUUCCCUUUUUCAACACCGGCAUUUUUAUAUUUUUCAGCUACAACCUCUUUCACCUUUCUGGGUAUCGAUACUUUAAGUGGCGGAAUCUCUUGUCGUGGGACCCCUCUACCGGGUCUUGCUAGCCAGUCUGUCAUUUGUUUGUACCUGUUACAUAAUUCCUUAAAACCAAUGUUUUAAAAACCGGUUUUUAAAUCAUAUUGGGUUUGGCUCUGAAAUGGUUUAACUGAGUUGUACCAGACGGUUCAACCGGGUUACUAGUUAACCUUAUAAUUCCAUAAAAUACAAAUUCAUCUCAAAAAAUAAUCCAAUCUCAAUUAAAAUUUAUGUAACUGAAUCAUGGUUUUAUCUAAAAACAACUAUUUUCUUACAAAAUAUUAUGCAUUUUUAUUACUUAUAAACAAUAUUACAUUGGACGAGGUUGGUAAUAGUUUCAACGACGAUGGAAUAUUAGAAUAGAAGACACUAGGUUAAUUACCGGAAAUAUGGAAGAUCGGUAUUGCCUUAAUAUCGUAUUUUAUUAAAAUUAAAAUUUUAAGAUAAUGCAAACCGGUUCAACGGUUUGAACCGGAUUUACCGCCGGUACGUAAGACAUACCGUAUUCAGGUUUUACCGGCCUAUAUCGUACCGGACCCGUGUCCGGUAUUUAAAACAAUAUCUUUAUAACAACCCAAUGCCAAUAGAGAUUUGUUUUGUUGGUGUACAGACGUAUAACAUAGUUGCCAAUAGCGAAUAGCGGUAAAAGCUACCUAUAUGCUACGUAGCGAUAGCGACGAAAUAGUGCCCGCUAUUUCAUGUUUAGCGAUAAAGUAGUAGAAAAUUAAGAUAUUCGUACAUGUAUAUAUUAUCAAAAUAGGCUAUUUUUACAUGUAUACUUCAUCUAAAUACGCUUCUUUAUUCAAUCGUGAAACAAAAAAAAAAAAACCUAAUGGGCAUCACCAUUUAUAUUUAUCAAAAAAAAAAAAGAAUAAUAAAAUAAUUAUAGAAAAAGUCGCAAUUUGUCACUUAACACCUUAUAGCACCAUAUGGGCACAUCGCUACAUAGCGCGCUAUAUCUGCUAUUGACAAGGGUUGUAUACGACGGGAGUAUAGAAAGGGGAGGGGGCACUCAACAAAAACCAGAGGGGUGGGGUACAUUUAGCAUAACCAUAAGGCAUCAUUUCAUCCAACAUCCAACAUAGUUAUAAAUUAAAAAGCAACUUUCUUCAAUGUGGUACUACUAACCUUAAUAAGUCCAAGAAAAUCAAGGUAAUCCGCAGGCUCAGGAUAAUCAUCAUCGGGGUCAAUAACAUCCGCCCACCUCACAUUUUUAUUCAUCUCAUACGCCUGCUUCCCUCUCGCAGAGCUCAAAACAUCCACCUGAACACCCGGAUACCGGUCCUUAAUCAACUGAAUAGUGGGAAAAAACAGCAAGUUUUCAUAGACCCCACCAGCAACCACAACACAACACCUCCUAACAUCCCCUCUAAUCUUCAACCCAAGUGAAGCAACUUCAGGCAUAAACCCCAUUGGAAACUUAAGAAACCCGUAUGGAUUAUCAGGAUUCUCGGGUGGCCUGGGGUCCUCCGACUGCUUCCCUUCAGAAUACUGUGUCCCAUACUCCAUGUCCGGGUCCUCACCCGUGUCAAAUGGGUCUAGCCACUCGUUUUUUUUCUUUGUGGCAUUUGGUCGAACAGUUGGUGUGCAUGUGGGAAAAUGAGGUUGACGAUCGGUUUGGGGGUUGAGGAAUGAGAGACUGGCGAUUCUGGAAGUGGGUAAUGAUGUGGGGGUUGUGAGGAAUGGUGGGAUGGAUUUGGGUAGAAGAGAGGUUGUAGC